AUUGAACGCUGGCGGCAGGCCUAACACAUGCAAGUCGAGCGGGGUUUUCGGACCUAGCGGCGGACGGGUGAGUAAUGCGUAGGAAGCUGCCCGAUAGAGGGGGAUACCAGUUGGAAACGACUGUUAAUACCGCAUAAUGUCUACGGACAAAAGUGUGGGACCUUCGGGCCACAUGCUAUCGGAUGCGCCUACGUGGGAUUAGCUAGUUGGUGAGGUAAUGGCUCACCAAGGCGACGAUCUCUAGCUGGUUUGAGAGGAUGAUCAGCCACACUGGAACUGAGACACGGUCCAGACUCCUACGGGAGGAAGCAGUGGGGAAUAUUGGACAAUGGGCGCAAGCCUGAUCCAGCCAUGCCGCGUGUGUGAAGAAGGCCUUCGGGUUGUAAAGCACUUUCAGCGAGGAGGAAGGGGUGUGUGUUAAUAGUACACACCUUUGACGUUACUCGCAGAAGAAGCACCGGCUAACUCUGUGCCAGCCGCCGCCGUAACAC
rnacentral:rRNA from 1 species